AUUGAACGCUGGCGGCAUGCCUUACACAUGCAAGUCGAACGGUAACAGGUUAAGCUGACGAGUGGCGAACGGGUGAGUAAUAUAUCGGAACGUGCCCAGUCGUGGGGGAUAACUGCUCGAAAGAGCAGCUAAUACCGCAUACGACCUGAGGGUGAAAGCGGGGGAUCGUAAGACCUCGCGCGACUGGAGCGGCCGAUAUCAGAUUAGGUAGUUGGUGGGGUAAAGGCCCACCAAGCCAACGAUCUGUAGCUGGUCUGAGAGGACGACCAGCCACACUGGGACUGAGACACGGCCCAGACUCCUACGGGAGGCAGCAGUGGGGAAUUUUGGACAAUGGGCGCAAGCCUGAUCCAGCAAUGCCGCGUGCAGGAUGAAGGCCUUCGGGUUGUAAACUGCUUUUGUACGGAACGAAAAGGCUCUGGUUAAUACCUGGGGCACAUGACGGUACCGUAAGAAUAAGCACCGGCUAACUACGUGCCAGCCGCCGCAGUAAUAC
rnacentral:rRNA from 1 species